ensembl:snoRNA SNORA74 Small nucleolar RNA SNORA74
CCCAACUGUAGGCAACUACCUAGGCUGCCUUAUACCUAGGAAGUGUUACACUGCUGAGAGAAAAGCAGCCAAUAGCGGGCAGGUCUUCUGGCCUGGUUAAUGCAAAAUUUGUGUUAACUGUAUCAGCAGGUCACCAUAGCUGCCUAUUCUAUUGCUUCUUUUUUUUAAAGAUUUAUUUAUUUUUAUUACAAAGUCAGAUAUACAGAGAAGAGGAGAGA